rnacentral:lncRNA from 1 species
UCGAGAACGGUCACAAAUGUAGGCGAGGUUGAUGCAGUAUACCAUGCUGCAAUUGAAAGCCCAGCUGGAGUCAAGAUCGAAGUUGAGCCGUCUGUUCUUGUAUUCAAUGCUGCAAACAAAAUUCAUACAUUUCAGGUCAAAAUAUCACCUAUGUGGAGGUUACAAGGGGAUUACACAUUUGGAAGCAUUACUUGGUACAAUGGUAAAAAAACAGUGCGAAUUCCAGUAGCAGCCCGGAUCACAAUUCAUGAUUUCUUCGCAGAUGUUGCAUAACUAGGGCGAAACAUGAGAUGACAUCAUAUUGUUCUUGUACUUUUUGAAAGACUAUCAUAGUGUUUUAACUUUUGAGCAUUGUAUAGAAAACAUAAAUAAUUAAGAAGUGCCCAGAUCCAUUAUGGCCUUACUUGUGUAAUCCUUUUUCUUAUCGGAAUCAUAUAAACAGCUGCCAUUGUUGCAGCAGGUUAAAUUUUAAUGAAGUUGUUUGUGCUAUGCAAUCCUAAUAACUAUGUCAAAAUGGAGUUGCUCCUGUACAAGGACUUUUCAUUGAAACUAUACUUAUAUUUGUUGUAAUAGCUUUCAACUUUUGUAUGGAAUCAGCCCUAUAUAAAUACUCUCUCCAGUCAUAAAAACUUGACACUUGUUGACUUUCUAAAAACUUGACACUUGUUGACUUUCUAUUGUCUUCGAGCUACCUUUGACCGAUAUUUUUUUAUAAAUAAGUAUGAAUGUAUGAUAUUAUGAAGGUACUUUUAAUACAUAUCUACACAUGUGAUUUUCGUGUUCCCAAACUAAAACUUAAAAACUAUUGACAAUCAAAGUUUUUAAAAGUUUAAGCAAAUUUUGAUCAAAGCAUCAAGUAUUUUGAUUGAAGACAGUAUAAUUAAUGUGUAUAUCUUUCACUUUUCUCUCAAAUUUUGAUGAAAGAGAAUUUCUAAGAGUCCACCUUCCCUAUUUCUCUAAUGUUUAAAUUGUUGAGGUACCUCGGUUCAUGAGUGGGCCCAAAUUGAGACGGCGGAAAUGAACAAACUAGGUACAAGUCGAGAGGGGAAAGGUCAAAUUUUGCUUUUAAAAGCUGCAUGGAUGGGUGCAGAGGCACGACAAGAUCACCGACGCCUCUUUCUUCUGAGUUGCUCAGUGUUGUAGAUGGAAGUUCACCUAAAUUUGUCUCCUUCGCAUAGGAGACGUGGAUCUUGGCAGUUGCUCCAUCCCUCCUCUCAUGAGGGGCAAAUCCUCCUCCACGACGGUUGUGGGGACCACCCCUUGAGCAUCCACAUUUAUGCAAUUCAGUGCCAUUCCCUAGAUCAGUAUCUGGCACCAGCAAUAGUCGGAAUGAUUAUCCAAGUAAGAAGUAGAGAAAAUAGAAAGAGUUACGACUGUGUCAUCUUCACCUUUAGGGAAUAGCAAGCAAUAAUCAAGACACGGCGGAAUGACGAAAGCUGGCUCUCUAGAAUACUUGGCAAAAUAAGUAAGAUUGAGUACUUUUGCCAGAAAUACUCAGCAAGUAUCUUACCGUUGAAAAGUUAAUGAUAUGUAGGGUGAAUCAAGGAAAGGCUAGGGUUAUAUGUAGAACGUUAUCUAUAUGCAAAGUGUAACACCGUUUGGGCUUUUAAAGGGAAAGUUUUUAUAAUAAUAAUAAUAAUAAUAAUAAUAAUAAUAAUAAUGAUGUUGUUUUGACCCUGGAGGGAAAAACAAAGCCUCCCCUGCCAGUUCCCAUAUUUUAAAGGCAGCGAUCGUCGGGAUCAUGCUUAUUUUAGAGGUACGGUCAUCCGCUCCUUAUACUCUAUUUUUAAAAGGGUGUAACUAAUCAAAGAGAGCUUUAACCAUGUGAGUUCAUGACUGAGAACCGCAGCUACUUGAAUAGAUUAAUUAACUUUGCAGAGCUUGUACACUUUACCAUAUGAUCGGGUAGAUCAUACCAAGGCCUUUGACGGUACUACCCUACAAGAGCCAUACCCACCAGCGUCCAUCUUUGGACGACAUCCUCUAGCUCCAUCCAUGGAUAAUACUGGAACCUAAACAGGGGUUAUUCCACGUCCACUCGUUUGACGCAGCUGGAGCAAGAGUGUCGCCGCCUUACGGAUUCCUUGAGAGUUCAUGAGGAGGCCGCUAAAUCUUUUGCAAAUGAGAGGAGCGACCAUGAAGUUCUUUAGGAGCGACUGGAGAAUCGCUAUAGAUCUUUGAAGCAAAGAUAUCAGGGUGAGUACUCGUGGUUGUUGAGUAAGUUUUACUCAUAGUCGUAGAUUCUGAUCUGCAUGUUGUUUGACACAGAGUUCAAAAGCAAGGAGGCCGCUGCGAGUAGCCAGCUACUUGACUGGAGAAAUGCUCACGACCGGGUAGCCGAUGAGGCUACCCGCCUUAGGGCAUCACUGGCUGAAACUCAGGCGGCCUAUGAGUGUGAGAGGGAUAGAAAGGAUUGGAUGGGAGUGAUGCUGGCGUUGGCUAUGGUGUCCUGUAGAGGCCAUGCUAGAACUGUGGGGAGGCUGGAAAGUGAUCUCCAAGAGUUGACUAGUGCUGCUCAGGACAUAGUCAACGCUAUUGCUCCACCUGAAGAUGAUGCGGAGCCUCACUCGCUAAUCAAGAGACUAAGAGCUGCCCCGGGUAGAGUUGCUGGACUGUGUAAGACUAUCUGCAAGCAAGUCCUUGCAGUGGUCAAGUCGUAUUACCCGAGGGCAAACUUGUCGGCGGCUGGAGAUGGAAUUGCCCAGAACUGCACAGAGGAUGCCUAUGCGCAGUACCUUGAGGAGGCUAAGCCCAUUGCGACAAGGAUGACCGAGUUCAUAUCUUUGGAAGAACCCUAGUCAUUUGAACUCGUUGUAUUUUUUGCCAAACACUUGUACUCAAACUUAGUCAUGUAAAUCUUGCCCUGAGAAAUUCUAAUAUGAUCGAUGAUCUUUGUUGGUUGACCUCGUAGUCGGGAAAACAAAUUCAAGUAACCGAGUAGUCGUAGUAUCCGGUAUGGUCUUCAAUUAUUGGAGUUGCUGUUGGGAGUACUGUAGCUAUUAUUGCCUUGUACUUGAGAGGGUGCAUGGGUACACUGUUUACUUUUAUCCGUGUGCUCAGUGUGGUCACAUGCGUGGGGUUAAGGCGUCUAUCUGGCCCUUGUCAGUAUUUCAGGCUGCUCAUCAUGAGCGAGCAGUAACUGCAAGUAGUUGGCAGUUGUAGCCCUUCGGCUAUAAAUGAGCCCUUGGGUACUCGAUCAGGAUCAUGCCCUUCAGUAUAGCGAUGGCUUGCUUCAUGUUGCUGUUGUUUGAUAGUAGAGAGCUUCCAAUGAGCGUCCCAGUGCUAGAAGAUUCCUCGUGGAUUAGAGCCACCUUCCCUCCAUAGAUUCUUACGCUCGUAGGGAUAGCCGUGAUGCUAGAAGAAUCAUCGUAGGAGCGUUUGUCGCGUGCCUCAUCUUGCAGCUCGUGAUCCAGCUGAGUCCGUGCUGGAACUUGCGGGUGAAGGAUGAUGAGCUCCGCGGUCUUUAUCCGGCUCCCUGAUUAAAGGUGAUGAUUCUCGAGCGAACGCAGGCUUGAUGAUGUCUGGUGCUAGCAAUCUUGCGUGGAGAAACUCGGCGACUGCCCCUACCUGGCGCGCCAACUGUCGGUAUUUUAGACCGGCAACCUGCCUAGGGAGUACCCAAGGUGGUCUUUUGUGCGGUGGGUAUCGUCGAGACUCAAGGAGUCGAUGUUGACGAAAGGAACACGAUUUAGAUAGGUUGAGGCUGCUAGAUCGCAUAAUACCCUACGUCCUGUGUGUAGAUUGUAUUGAUCUUGUUUUCUGUUGUUUGUUGUUUGGAGGGGGUCCCUGCCCGCCCUUAUAUAGUCAGGGGAGCAGGGUUACAGGGCGGAUUGUGUACGAGUCCUAGUUGAGUAUGUUUACAGAGUCCUACUCUAAUUCGGUAGAGUAGUUUCCUUUUGACCCGACUAGUCUUGGGGAGUCCAUGAAGCCUACGCGCUCUGCAGAGUAGUCUUCAUGCCGAAUAGGUUUCGGGUACGUUCCCUUGAGUGGGACAAAUCUUCCGGUGGGCCUAGGGGUGCCUAGCGAACAUAGGGUCAACCAUCUCACGGGGUUUCUCCAUCAUCACCAGAUCGAGGCUUCAUCACAAGUCUAAGGAUGGAAACAUAGCCUUUAAUACAGGGGGAAGAAGGGAGAGUGAGGAGGUCACCUUGCUUGGUGGCGCGGAUGGUGAAUGGAGAGCGAAUAAGGUGACUAGGCGAGGCAAGCGAAGGACAAUGAGAAACACAGGCGGUCGUACCGUUUCAGCUCCACUCCACCUUUACACCCAAGACGAUGGCGGAGGCGCAUGCUUGGGUGAGAGCUACAGGAGGAAGGAGGAGGUUUUGCCUAGGAGGAGGGCACUCGUGGGCCUGAGGUGAAUUAAGCUUUCCUGAGUUUAUGCCCACCAAUAUUAUGGGCUGAUAUUCCGUGAGUUUCUUCGCGUAAUGGAGGCCCAAAGCUAUUGCUGUUCCAGCAAAAACUGACUCUUCAAACUAAGCCUUGAACGGAAACGUCAUCCUAGUUUAAAUGGAGAUCUCAUCUGAGUCCAUGAAUUAUUAAAGUGAUCAACUAGGUCUGCGAUCUAAUAAAGUGUGAUCACGGAGGUCCAUGCGUGUCCACGAAUGCAAUUUUUGCCUACGUGGCGCUGCCAGCGUGGACAUGUGAGCUCAUAAAGUAAGGUGCCGGUUUUCCAUUUCUUGUACACCACUCCCUUCUAUUUUCAGUCUCAUAAUACAUAUUAUCAAUGCCCUAAAAUUGAGAAGAAUACAUCCUCAGUGAUAGUAAGAAACUAUCCUGAGUACCUCUUAAAGGUAGCUUAUUUUGGUAUAAAUUGGUACAUCAAGAUGACAAUACACAAAGGAUAUAUAUAUACUGUAUAAUUGCCUAGUUGGUCACUUCUCACUUGGGGCUAUGAGUUUUGAGUAUGAGUAUUGAGAGAAAUAGUACACAUAUGAUGUUCAAAGUAACAGAUGCAAAGUAACCCAACUAUGCAUGCUUCAGGGUCUAUGGAACUAAGAGCAAAGUAGCAGACAACAGAGCAGCAAGCCAUCAAAUACUAUGAGGCGUGAGCACUGAGCAAACAACGGAGCAAUAGGAAGCUGGAGGGUACAAGAGCAAUAGGAGAUACAUUUGUUCAUUAACCAUCACAGGAGGAGCUCAUCUUUGUUAUCUAGUACAACUUUGAGCGGACGGCCACGGCAGGGACUGAAUCGACAGACGGGCGGCCGGGGCAGAGGAACAGGUGGGCGGCCAAGGCAGGGAUGGACGGACAGGGGCAGAACUUGAGGAGGGAUGGGAUCCGGUGGCAGACCGCGCAUGGCCACGGCAGAGACGGGAUCCAGUGGCGGAUGCGGGAGAUCACUCACGCACGGGCAGGAGGUGGCUCGCUCGAGGAUGGGGUCAAGAGUAGCAGUGAGGGAGAAGGCGAUGCGCUCUGGUGGUUCGGCUGCGAUGGACGACGAGACCGCGGGAGUCCAGAAGGUCGUCGGAAUGAAGCGCGGAGGUGGGAGGUUGGUGGCAAAGAAGGGAAUGGGAUCCGGUGGGUCGGCGGCGGUUGGUGGCGAGGGACCGGGAGAGGUCACCGUGUUAGGGAUCCCCAAAAAGAUAGUCACCCUCAAGGUCAUUAUGUUUAGCAUAUUUCACGUAGCCCCACAAAAUAAGUAGCUUCGGGCGAGGGUCCCUAACCUCGGGGGACAAAUCUGGCAUGAAAGAGUAGUUCUAGCCUCGCCGCGCUGCUAAGAGCUCUGCCUCGAAGCCAAGAGACAAUCACCGAUCACCAGACAAUAACUAAGCUUGCCCUCGAACGCUCGAAGCUAACCCUGAGGCGUCGAGUUGUCUGCUGUCUCGUGCAGGGUUGUUGAAACAAGGAUCAGGGCGCACGGUUGGCGUCUCUCCGGUGCGAAGUUGGAACGGUCUCAAAGCUCGAGGUUAAAAUGGCUUCGGGUCCGAGGUUAAAAACGUGAAGGCGUGAUUCGCAGAAUCGUCUGAGAGCGCGAUUCAUGGAGCUGAUUGGAGGCGUGAGAAGCGUGACUCGCUGGAGGAGACCAAGUCGUACAAGUAAUCUCCAAAUGACCUUCGUGCAUAGCAUAUUCUAAGAAUGUAGUGGUUGAAUAAGGGUAAUUGUGGAAUGUAAAGUGUCCUCCGGGAUACUAUAAAAGUGGAGUCCGACCCUGAUGUAAACUGAGGCUCAUUUUCUUAAGUUAAACCACGAGUGCUUCCCAACAUUAUCGUGUCUUAGUCUCCCUGAGACUUAUUUCCUAACAUGGGCACCCAGCUAAAGACUCGGUCGAGGGCCGCGGUGAAGAAGGGGAUGGCAUCCGUUGGGUCGGCGGUGAGGAAUCUCACCGGAGAGCCUAGCGGCGGCGCGCCAAAGGUCACGACCGCUGGAUGGAGACAGAGGAAUAGAAUGGGAGAGAGAGAGAGAGGCGAGGAGGGGUGGUAGGAGCCGCAGCGAAGCAAUACAGCGUGAAGGAAAUGGAAAUACACAGAGAGUACCUCAGGAGAGAGAGUGUGGCGCGGAUCUAGAGAGGAGAAUGGACGGGUGGGAACGCACGUUCCAAACGGUAAUUUCGCACCGCGCACGGGGCCCGCCCGAGCCCCUGCCCGUGGUCCAUCUAACAAACGCUGCUCUGAACUGAUGACGCAGCGGUCCUCAUGGUCGCGUGGAUGGAGGACGCGUGCUCGGCGACCUCCGUCCCGCUGGGCGUGGCCCAGCAACGUGGCGUCGUCGGCGUCCGCCUCGGCGAGCUGCUCGCACAGGCAUCGGGCAACACGUUAGUCUGCCUUCCGCCGCACGGAGCUCGCCGGCGCUGACCUCGUCGCUGCCUGCUGCUGGAUGACCUCACCGGCACCGGCCGCAUCGACGUGCUCAACUUCGACAUUGGCAUGGGCAGUAGCGGCAACAAGAAGGCAUCCACGAGCCACGGCAGUGUGUACUUUGUAUGUGCAGCAUCGAUGACACAAAUCAAACCCGUGGACUGGAAGCCAUCCAUUGAUAGCAGCAGAUGCGCAUCAAAUCCUAUAUCCGUGCUCAACUUCGACGGGACGUGGAGCACCGCCGCCCGCAUCUACCGCUCUCUGGCCGUGUAACUCGCCCGUGCGGUCGCCAUCGCGCUCACCUGCUUGAGCUCAUCCCUCCGCGCCUUGAUUUUGCCUGCACUUGCUCCGCUACGCCCUCGAUUUCAGUCGCGCCGCAGUGAUUUCGCUCCUGUUCCACCUCCGCCACCACAACGCAAUGACCGCAGGAGCAAAGGAGCUGCCAUGGGUUUUGGACGCACAAGCAAUGGAGCUGCCACGGCUGUCGGAGGUCCAAAUUGUGGUGGGCUCUGUUGCCGUGGCGAUGGACACGCUGCCGCAAGGAUGGUGACCGUGCAGGCAAGGCACACGCCGACGCAGCUGCAGCUGGAAGCGGAAGACAACCGCACGGUGCCAGGCGUCAGGCGUGUGCUCCGUGCUCGGCUGCUCUUGGUUGCCCGCGAUGGUUGCCAGGGUCAUCGACGACCUCAGGUCCUAAGCUACGUUCGCGGAGUAUAUCGAUCUGCAUUCUAUAGGAAGGGGACGGCGGACCGGAGAAGGCCAAGAUUAGAGAUGGCAAUGGGCCGAAACCUGAAACCCGUGGGUUUUUACUCUAUUAGAGUAGAGGCGUGGAUCAAUUUUUCUACCCGUGGAUUUAUUAAUGGGUGGGACCUGUCAGGUUCACGGGCAUGGGUUUGAAAAUAUAAAAUAAAACCCAAACCGUGAACCCAUGGAUUUUUUAGACCCGGCCAUAUACCACCAAAUAAGUCCAUGUUCUUAACCCACACAUCAAUUUUGAUGGCGAAAGCCCAACUCAUAUAUGCAUGUGCUACUUAUUAUCGUAAGUAAAUUGUUAAAAACUGAACUUUGGCAGUUUAAAAUCUAUACUAUGCAUCUAUGUCACUGAUACGAAGUGCUUUUGUUAACAUGUGGUGUUAUGAUUUGAUAAAUCUUAUAUCUUGUCUUACUAUAUUUCUGUUGGUUUACAUCAAUGUUGCAUGCACAUAUAUUAAAUUAUGAAUACCUAUAUGUAUAAGACAAUUUUUUUGCUUGCUUUGGUACCCACGGGCGACCUGUGGAUACCCGUUAACAUGAUGGGUAUGGGUCGGGUCAUGGGGUUUUUAACGGGUAGGUUUUAUAUUCGCGGGUAUAGGUUUGGGAUGGCAAAACCCAGCGAGUUUGUGCCCGUUGCCAUCCUUAGCCAAGACUCAUCCAUGCUGGCAGCGCCAUGUAGGCAAAGGUUGCAUCUGUGGACGCUCAUGGACCUCCACGCAUACUCUUUAAUAUAUCGUGAAUCUGGAUGACCACUUUAAUAAUUCAUGGACCCAGAUAAGAUCUCAGGACCCACCAUGAAAUUCACUCAAUAUUUUUUUUCCGAAAGACACCGCCAUAAAUAAUUUGGAUACUCUUUUUCUUUUUCACGUGGCGAGAAAAGUAGACUGGAUGAUGAACCAUCAUAUAUGACUAAAUCAACGUUUUAAGUGGUAAUAAGGACUAGAUCGAGCAUUGACUUUCCGAACAAAAAUAUUAGAAAAAUGCUGUUAGAAAUAUGUAUACACUUCUGGUUGUAGGACGUAAUCAAGAUUAGCAUGUAGCUCGAAGAAGAUAAGAAGAAAACGAACUCGCCUUAAUAUAGUUUGGGCAUUGUUCCAUGAAAGUUCGUAGCACAUAAACUAAUUUAAGGUGAACAUCAAACACACAAAGAAGACAACUUUGACGAAGUCGAAGUGGUUGGUAGGCUCCCUGCUCUUUGCCGAAGUCUGGUUCUGGCUUUGCCUUGAGAGUUGAGAGGCUGGAUAAACUAUGCUAUAUGAUGUCACGAUCUUCUAAUUCAAUCAAAGUAGGUGUGCUACUAGUAAACAUGAUUAAAUUUUGCAAUGCAGAACUCUUUGAAACCUUCUCUUGUAGAAAGCGCGCGCACACACAUCAAUAUCCAUUCAAGCCACUUGAUGCGAUUUUUUUAGAAAAAGGAAAUAUUUCCGACCUCCACAGCACAUUAAUUAUUACUUUUCUAUCCAUUCUUGCUGAAGAUAUCCAAAGUGAGAACUUUCAACGCUUUGCGUGCCAAACAUAUAAAUGAUUCCUUAUUCCUCAAACUGUAAUAGGGGCCACUUGCUGCGAUGGAUACUCCUUUUUUUUCUUUUCCCGUCAACAGUGUCUUACUUGACUCCGGUGCUUAUAUAGGUGCUUUAUUUUGAGGAAUUAUUAGAUGGUGAAUGGGUCAUAUGGUCCUGAUUUAUGAACCUGCUCUUUCAUGAUUAAUUGACCCAUUAAAUAAAAAAAAUAGAAAAUGGAACCAAAUACAACCUCUGCGACAGCACGCAGCCAAUCUUUACAUAAUUCUCAACUCAUAGGCUGAUCACAAAUAAAAAGAGAAAAGAGCACACAAUCUAAAGGAUAAACUUCAGAGCAAAGUCAAUUAAUGCUUCUCUAUCCGUUCUUGGUCAAUGUGUCCAAAGCCACAGUCUCAAAUGCUCAAAAAUACCUAGGCCUAGGCGUUCGUACUACCGAAUUGAACCGAUCAGUUCCUCGGUUUUUGAUGAAGUUCGGUUCCCAAGAAAGUCGGUACCGAUCGGUUCUUCCAAAAAAUCAGUACCGACGAAGUUCGAUUUCGGUUGUUCCGGUUCCGAAUUGAACUAACCGACCAACUCCAGCUUCCAAAAAAUCAGCGACGCGAUGGACGGCGGCGGCCAGCGGGAGGACGCAGGGGCCCGCUGUGCCGGGACUCCGGGAGGGCGCAUCGGUCACCAGGCGGGAACGCGGUGCCGCGGGAGGACGUAGGGGGGCGCCAGGACUCCGGGAAGUGGGAGGGCGCGAUGCCGCCGGGUGGGGAUGCGGUGCCGCGGGAGGACGCAGGGCCAGCCGACCAGGGUUGGCGCCACCGCGCCGGGACUCCGACGCUGGCGCCGCGGGAGGAUGUAGGGCCAGGGGGGCGCCGCCGCGCUAGGACUCCGGGAGUGCCCACCGGCCGCCGGCUGCCGGGGAUGCGGCGCGGGUGGGGACUCAGGACUGGGAGGCAGCACGAGAGGGGAGAUCGGGAGACUGGAGUGCUAGGUUACUCGCUCGGCCUGCAGACGGACGCAGCGCAGUAGUUCACUAGUUCAAGCUGGGCCGGCCAGUGGGCCUUAUUGGACCUCGGUUCUUCGGUUAGUUAGGGGAGGAACCAAUUUAACCGAACAAAGUUUGGUUCCUAGGAAAUGAGAACCGAACAGGGAGCCGAGAUUUCGGUUCUCGGUUAGUUCGAUUCAGUUCUUGGUUUUUUCAGUUCUGUUCUCGGUUGUUUUUGCCCACGGCUAAAAAUACCCAUUAAACCAAAUGCAACAAGUAAAUGGUUGUAGCAAAUCCCGCUUGCAUUGGUGCCAGUUCAUUGAUUGGGAAUUAUGCUCUUGGUGCCUGUGUAAACGGAAGAGAACAAGUCUAAGAAUUAGUGUAAAUGCACGUCCCCGUUGAAACUGCGUACUACAUUGGUUUGCAACCUGUGGAGUCCUUUAGUACACUUCUUAUGUAGACCAAGAGAACAUAUUGAGUCUUCUUCAUGCAUAUCACGCCUAUAUAAACACCCUGGCCCAUUAAUGGCACCUAUGAGCAAGACAACACUGAAAAGCAUGGGAUUCUAUUCUUCAUGGCGUGCUUCUGCAUCUUCGGCGCUACUGCUUCUCUUCUUUGUGCUGUUACUGGGUGUGCAUGGAGGAUCUCGCAGGGUAAGCAUGCCCGCUAACAGUUGAGUCGUCACUACGACCUAGAGCGGUAUGAUAUUACUCGCUAAAGAAUGUUUCAAAGACAUAAUUUCCAAUCUGCAAUGUUUGCAGCUGUAUAUCGUGUACCUAGGCGAUGUGAAACAUGGACACCCCGAAGAUGUCAUCGCUUCGCACCAUGAUCUUCUCAGUGAUGUUCUUGGAAGGUACGCAUGCAUAUAAUAUAGCCUCUUUCAGCCAGCCCAUUCCCUUUCUCUCGCUCUACUCUAAUUCCAUGAUCGAUCAACACGAUGAUUAGCUAUGUAAAUUUGCUACUUAAUACGUCAUACUGCUGCUCCGAUCCUAAACUUUCAGCAAGGAAGAUUCUUUGGCCUCCGUGGUUCAUAACUACAAGCAUGGUUUCUCAGGCUUCGCAGCUAUGCUUACUGAAGACCAAGCUAAACAGCUCGCAGGUCAGGACUUUCAGUCUUUAAUUUCUGCUCCAACAAGGCCUCGAUCACACUCGCUCGCCCUCUUGCUUACUGCUUGAUCAGUUUUGUGAUCGCUUUGUUCUUCACCUUGUAGUCGUGCAAAAUCAUCAGUAAACUGAUAACCGCGGCUCUGGAUUUGUUAACUCUACAGAGUUUCCAGAAGUCAUCAGUGUCGAACCAAGCAGAAGCUACACGGCGACAACAACUCGAAGCUGGGACUUCCUUGGUCUGAGCUACCAAAUGCCCAGUGAGCUACUACAAAAAAGCAGAUAUGGAGAGGACAUAAUUAUCGGGGUUGUCGACAGUGGUCCGUACCCAAUCCCAUCAUACUUUACGAAAGUGAUCAAUAUAUAUGAUCUCGUUCAGAAACUCGUCUUUUCGCUCUUUUGGUGCCAAAAAUCUUGUGCAAACCGUAAUGUGCAUCAUGCUAAUACACCGUACCUGCUCUAGGUAUCUGGCCAGAGUCGAGAAGCUUCAACGACGAAGGGUACGGACCCGUGCCACCACGGUGGAGAGGCAUGUGCCAAAUCGGAGAGGCCUGGGGCAGCAGCAACUGUAGCCGCAAGAUCAUUGGGGCACGGUUCUACAGCGCCGGAAUUGACGCGAAUCUCCUCAAGUCCGACUACCUGUCGCCACGGGGCGUCAACGGCCACGGCACGCACGCGGCGUCCACCGCGGCGGGCUCGAUCGUGGAAGCGGCCAGCUUUCACGGCCUCGCCGCGGGUGCCGCGCAUGGCGGGGCGCACAGAGCUCGCAUCGCGGUGUACAAGUCCUUGUGGGGCCCUCGCGGUAGGGGCAGCAGCGCCACUGUGCUCGCGGCCAUCGACGACGCGAUACACGACGGGGUGGACGUGCUGUCGUUGUCCCUCGGUGCCCUCCGCGACACAAGCUCGUUUGGUGCCUUGCACGCGGUGCAGAAGGGGAUCACCAUCGUAUACUCGGCCGGGAACGACGGUCCAAGACCGCAGACCAUUGGGAAUACUGCCCCGUGGGUCAUCACCGUAGCCGCGAGUACAAUUGAUCGCUCGUUUCCAACCGUGAUCACGUUGGGAAACAAGCAACAAAUAGUAGUACGGAAUACAAAUGCCACCUCUGAACAAUCACUAAGUCACUACUACUCUUGCAUGAUACUUCUGAUGUAGAAAGAGUAAAAGUUACCGAUCUUGAGAGAAAUCUACCAAUUUUGCAGGGACAAUCUCUCUACUACCAAGAGAAGAACUCAUCCAGGAGCAGUUUCCGAAGCCUUGCCAUUGGCGGCGUUGGAGGCCUGUACGUUAAGUCACUAACUUAAAUUUUACCCUUCUUGAGAUUUCCUACCGUGUCACAUCUUGAAGCUGACCAGAUAAGUUUUGCUUCCUGUGAUUAUUAGCUGCACGGCGGAAGCUCUGAAUGGUACGGAUUUGGAAAGGCGGAUCGUGUUAUGCUUUCCAUCAAACCGAGAACGAGCGCUAACCCCGACCUCGGAAUUCACAAAUGCGUUACAAAACGUCCAGGACGCCGGGGGCUCUGGUCUUGUUUUUGCUCAGUAUACGACCAAUGGUCUAGAUGGAGUCACAGCUAAUUGCCGAGGCAUUGCCUGUGUUCUUGUGGACCUUGACACCGGCUACAAGAUUUUAGAAUAUUACAGGACAACCGCAAGGUAUAACACUUAUGGGUCAAACCAAAAAUUUCAAGUUACUAUGCUCCCGGUGAAUUUCUCUCGGUUCUAUAUUGAGCUGAAUCUUCUCUCAGUAAAUUUCCGAUUGUCUUAAGCAGCUCUGCCGUGGCGAAGAUUGAACCAGCGCGAACCUUUACGAGCAAAGAGUUAUUGGCUCCCAAAGUGGCAGCAUUCUCCUCCAGAGGUCCAUCAAUCCACAACGCUGAUGUUAUCAAGGUAACAAGGUAGCACUACGCAGUUGGCACUACAAGCCAUGACAGGCCAUCUCACUCCAGUUUUGCUUCUUCCUCGACAGCCUGACGUAGCUGCGCCUGGAACCAGCAUCUUAGCAGCAGUCGGAGACAACUACGAGAUUAUGUCAGGGACAUCAAUGGCUGCCCCGCACGUAGCUGGCAUCAUCGCCCUGCUGAAAGCUCUACAUCCACAGUGGUCUCCUGCUGCACUGAAAUCUGCCAUUGUCACCACCGGUAAUUAGGCCGAUCUACCGUAACUUUAGAUAACUUCUGAAAUCAUGAUUAAUUGACUAUUGACUAGGCAACAUGACAUUUGCCUUACCUCUGCUUCAUUUUGCAUGGUGAAGCAUCUGUAACUGACGAACAUGGCAUGCCAAUACUGGCUGAAGGGUUGCCUCGAAAGAUUGCCGACCCAUUCGACUAUGGAGGUGGGCACAUCAACCCUAACAGAGCAGCUGAUCCUGGUCUGAUUUAUGACAUUGAUCCAAACGAUUACAACUACUUCUUUAGCUGCAUCAUCAAAACAUCCGUAAGCUGCAAUGGAACAUCGGUGCCAGGGUAUCUCUUGAACCUGCCAUCCAUCUCAGUUCCAGAUCUGAGAAAUCCAGUUACUGUACCAAGAACCGUCACAAAUGUAGGCGAGGUCGAUGCAGUUUACCACGUUGCGAUUGAGAGCCCGGCUGGAGUCAGGAUUGAAGUUGAGCCGUCUGUUCUUGUGUUCAAUGCCGCAAACAAAGUUCAUACAUUCCAGGUCAAGUUAUCACCUAUGUGGAGGUUACAAGGAGACUACACGUUUGGCAGCAUAACGUGGUACAAUGAUCAUAGGACGGUGCGAAUUCCUGUUGCAGCCCGGAUCACGAUUCAUGAUCUGUUUGCAGAUGUUGCAUAAGAAAGGUGAAACAGGCAAA